AAUACAUGCAAGUCGGACGGGAUCCAUCGGAGAGCUUGCUCGAAGAUGGUGAGAGUGGCGCACGGGUGCGUAACGCGUGAGCAACCUACCUCUAUCAGGGGGAUAGCCUCUCGAAAGAGAGAUUAACACCGCAUAAUAUAUCUGAUUGGCAUCAGUUGGAUAUUAAAUAUUUAUAGGAUAGAGAUGGGCUCGCGUGACAUUAGCUAGUUGGUAGGGUAACGGCUUACCAAGGCGACGAUGUCUAGGGGCUCUGAGAGGAGAAUCCCCCACACUGGUACUGAGACACGGACCAGACUCCUACGGGAGGCAGCAGUAAGGAAUAUUGGUCAAUGGGCGGAAGCCUGAACCAGCCAUGCCGCGUGCAGGAUGACUGCCCUAUGGGUUGUAAACUGCUUUUGUCCAGGAAUAAACCUAAAUACGAGUAUUUAGCUGAAUGUACUGGAAGAAUAAGGAUCGGCUAACUCCGUGCCAGCAGCCGCGGUAAUACGGAGGAUCCGAGCGUUAUCCGGAUUUAUUGGGUUUAAAGGGUGCGUAGGCGGCCUAUUAAGUCAGGGGUGAAAUACGGUGGCUCAACCAUCGCAGUGCCUUUGAUACUGAUGGGCUUGAAUCCAUUUGAAGUGGGCGGAAUAAGACAAGUAGCGGUGAAAUGCAUAGAUAUGUCUUAGAACUCCGAUUGCGAAGGCAGCUCACUAAGCUGGUAUUGACGCUGAUGCACGAAAGCGUGGGGAUCGAACAGGAUUAGAUACCCUGGUAGUCCACGCCCUAAACGAUGAUAACUCGAUGUUGGCGAUAGACAGCCAGCGUCUUAGCGAAAGCGUUAAGUUAUCCACCUGGGGAGUACGCCCGCAAGGGUGAAACUCAAAGGAAUUGACGGGGGCCCGCACAAGCGGAGGAGCAUGUGGUUUAAUUCGAUGAUACGCGAGGAACCUUACCCGGGCUUGAAAGUUAGUGAAGAGAGCAGAGACGGACUCGUCCUUCGGGACACGAAACUAGUGCUGCA
rnacentral:rRNA from 1 species